rnacentral:rRNA from 1 species
GAAGAUGACGAGGUUAAUAGGUUCGAGGUGGAAGCGUGGUGACACGUGGAGCUGACGAAUACUAAUCGAUCGAAGACUUAAUCAAUUU